ensembl:lncRNA
CUCAGGUCCACACGCCCCCCGCCCCACUCCCACCACCACGAGCCACAGCGGCUGCCGCGGAGGUCCCGCACCAGCACCAGCCGGGAGCACCGGCCCCGGGGCGCAGCAGUGGGCGUGCCCGCACCGCCGGGAGCUGCAGGAACCGAGCUCGGGAACCCAGAGAGCACGCCUCCUUCACCGCCUUCCCAUCCCGUGGAGAGCUGACCCAGGCUCGCACGCCCGCGCUCGCGGGAAUGCCAACAAGGGUCUCAUCACCCGUGGCGACGCACAUGUCCUGCGAUCAAGACAAGUUCCAAGAAAACACUAGCGUAAGUUCAGAGGCGGGAAGCCUGACUUGGCCGCCGCUCAAGUCAGAGCGUUGGAAGGCUGAUCGUUGACAGCAGAACGUCAGACGGGGGAAAUGGAUGAACUGGAAAAGGAGCCCUGACUAGUGCGGGGCUAAUAAAGGACCACGGCCCUGCGUCAGCCCCUGCUGCGGGGAAGGCGUUAUUACUGAAGGUGACCCUUGCACGAUCAGCAGCAGUGAUCAGAGCGGGCUUUGGUGUGUGACAGACGACCCGGCGGCUUACACCGACAGUGACUUACAGUUUCUCAUGACCGCAUCGGUUGGCUGGUGGUUCUCUGGAGCUUGUUCCUGCAGCUGCCUUCAGCUGGAGGGUCUUCUGGGCUGGAGGUCCAAGGUGGUCCUACUCACAUGUGUGCCGGCUGAUGGGCUGUUGGCUAGAACGCUCAGCCCUCCCUCCAUCCUGUGGCUUCUUGCACUGAUUUCAACCCAGCCCCCCACCCUGGUCCACAACCAGCCGGCUGGCUUUGGAUCCCAGAAUCACCUGCAGCCGAGGAUUCCCAGGGAGAACUGUGCACACUCUUCCUGCUGUGGACCUGAUCUGUUAUUUCGGUGUCUAGGGGAGAAACUAAAGACAAUCAGGAAAUGCGGAGGAAACGUGAAUACAGACCCCAAGCUCUAA